UAUUUGCCGUGUAUAUAUCUUUGUGUGUGUGUGUAUAUAUAUGUUAUAUAUAUAUAUAUACACACAUACACAUAGAACAAGGAAGAAAUA
rnacentral:miRNA from 1 species